AUGUUUUCGUGUCACACGCACGGUCUUUACAUCUUUUCCAAAGCUGAGCUCUUCCGAGGUCUAAUUUAUACACAGACACUCGCCGAGCGUGAGCGAACGACCUGCUGCGCUUUGACAGACGGGGAGUCACGGGACCACCCGAUAGCACGCCGGAGGACACCCCGCCGUCCGAAGGGGCCCCCGCACCUCUCAGCGCCCGCGCGAGCCUCAGGCCCUGCCAGCCGUCAGUCGGCCUCCUGGCCCUGGACUUCCUUCUCUUCGGGGGUCGCCCAACUCCAUGGUCCGGGCCUCGGCCGUGGGGCCUCCUCUCAUCAGCGCAACGCGCUUGAGCUUCAUCCUGUGGGAGUGAGGGGUUCACUCCUUCCUCCGUCCGACAGACGGACCACAGCCCGCGCGUCCGUCCGCCCGCCCAUGGCCUUUUGGGCGUUUCUCGCCGGGGACGUCACAGUCAGGGCGCUACGGUCGAGGACGACUGUGGGAGCGUGUUGCAUUCCUGUGGGCACGCAGCUGAGAGCCCGGCUGUGGCCCUUCCCCGCUCAUCUCCUGCAGGUCCUACGGCGUGUUUCCAGGCCGCCCCACCAGACCGGGGGCUCCCGAGGGGUGGGCGCGGUGCCUGGGACUGGUGGCCAUGCCCUCGCAGGGUCUGUUCUCCACGGACGCCGGUCGCGGGCGGGCGGGUGGCGGCGGAAGCCAGGGCGGGGCCAGGGCAACAGGGUGAUGGCAGGUCGCGUGGCAGGGACAGAAGUGGCCUCUGCACCAGUGAGGACUGGAAAUGUCGCCUUUGUCCCUCCUCAGAGAUGUCAGGUGCCGCAGGGACGUCCGGGCCCUCCUCAGACGCCUCCUCCGCCUCCUCACCUCCCAACACCUGCCCUAAGCCACCCCCAGGGGCACACCUUGCAGCCAGCGGCCACCGAAACCCACGCCCACUCGCAAGUGACCGUGUCUACCGUCGUCUCUCCGUGGCCACACGGCUGGGACACCCCACUAUGCCCCUCACGCAAGGAGGGCCCUCCCGUCCCCUGGGGACUCCGCCCCCCCACUCCUUCUCAUCAGGCGUGGGGCUUCUGUUCUCUCUCAGGAGCACCGGCAGCAUCGGCAGCCCUAUCCUCUCCGGCACCGUCCGCGAGCACCCCAGGCACCCUCUGCUUGUUGCCACCCCAGCGCUGCUCAUGGCUCGGACAACCCAGCUGGAAGGCGAGCGCCACGGCAGAGCCAGGCCCGGCGGGCACGCGUGCUCCUGGCCCACCGUGUCCCUCCUGGGCCCGCCGUGCACUGCGUGCUCCCACCCCACAGAGGCCGCGGGCACCACGGCCCUCGCUGCCCCGCUGCCCCGCUGCCCUCCGCACCUGCUCCCACCCACCUUCCUCCACAAAGCGCUGA
rnacentral:lncRNA from 1 species